GACGAACCGUGCGAACGUUGUCCGGAUUUAUUGGGCGUAAAGAGCUCGUAGGCGGCUUUUCGCGUCGGCUGUGAAAACCCGCGGCUCAACUGGGGGCGGGCAGCUGAUACGGGCAGGCUGGAGUUCGGUAGGGGAGAGUGGAAUUCCGGGUGUAGCGGUGAAAUGCGCAGAUAUCAGGAGGAACACCGAUGGCGAAGGCAGGUCUCUGGGCCAUAACUGACGCUGAGAAGCGAAAGCAUGGGGAGCGAACAGG
rnacentral:rRNA from 1 species